ACGCGUGACUUAAUGGUUAAGGUAUCAGGUUCACGAUCUUAAGGUUAUGGGUUCAAUUCCCGAUAAUGCGUU
rnacentral:tRNA from 1 species